rnacentral:rRNA from 1 species
CAGUCGCCGCGGUAAUACGAAGGGUGCAAGCGUUAAUCGGAAUUACUGGGCGUAAAGCGCGCGUAGGUGGUUUGGUAAGAUGGAUGUGAAAUCCCCGGGCUCAACCUGGGAACUGCAUCCUUAACUGCCUGACUAGAGUACGGUAGAGGGUGGUGGAAUUUCCUGUGUAGCGGUGAAAUGCGUAGAUAUAGGAAGGAACACCAGUGGCGAAGGCGACCACCUGGACUGAUACUGACACUGAGGUGCGAAAGCGUGGGGAGCAAACAGGAUUAGAUACCCGAGUAGUCCCUGUCUCUUAUAC